AGUUUGUAAACAUGCUAAUAAAUUCAGCAAACAAUCCUUAGUCUCAAAGACUAUUUACAAAAAAUAUUCCGGAGUGCACUUGAUACACUGCACACCUAUCUCCAGGAAGCCCUUGUGCACUUGCGAAAGGAGGCCUUUCCACCCCCCAGUGAGAAAAUGCAGAGAGGGCAGCUGAGGAGCUGUAUGGAGGAGCAAGCAGCUACAGAGGGAUGUGCCGGCUGGGAGCCACGUACAGGGAAGCGCAAGCACAGAAAUGUCUCCCCAGCAUGAGCCUACUGCCUUGGGAUGGCCUGGAGUCUUCUACAAUGCAUUAGUCUCUACAGCCACAGCCAACUUCUUACCACAUCUGAAGAGUUUCAAAAAGGAAACUAGCAAGCCACCAUAGCACUGAGGUAGAACCACAACAAAACCUGGGGCAAUGGCAACUGCACGAAUGUAAGCACUUGUUUUCAUUUUCCUCUCCCUUUUUUGACUGUUGUGGGUUUCAGUGGUGGUUUCAAACUCACUUCUUAGAAGUUUCAUUUUCUUUUCUUUUUGUAGCUUGGAUUUAGAUUAAGUAUAAUGGUAGAGGAGGUAAGGCUUGAAUCAUUUCCAUGCAUCAUCACUGUCUAUAUCUUUUUU
rnacentral:lncRNA from 1 species